GGUUCUUAAAACUAAGGAUAGUGAUGGAGAUAGGUUUUGAUCCCUCUUAGGGACCAGCUGUCCACCUACACAACAAGUUGUCCUCGGUAUAUUUUGCAAAAUAGAGGUGAGUCUCUCGUGACAAUUUCUUAUCAUACAAUAGUUUGAUUAUGUGAACACUAUAUCUACUUCAAUGGAAAUAUACCAGAGUAUCAAUUGAUAGCAAUCAAAUUGUAUCAUAAUCAAAUCCUUAACGACCAAAUUGUUCUGCAUGGAAUUGUUUAAUAAUCAAUUUACCAACAAUCAUUUCACCUGACAAUGUAAAUGAAGUUAAAAUGACGAUUUGAUCAGCCAUUUUGGACAAUGCUCGCUUUGAUGGGAAUUUUGGCACAUUGCCCACUCUGUUGUGCAUUUUGCACAUUCCCGGUAACAUGUACAUAGGCAUUACGCAGACACUUAAUUUUUAAUUAAAUUUAAUAUGCUUAAAAAAAAGUUUUGUGUUAUGAGUUUGUUGUCAUACCAUGGGGGUAUGUUGCACGAAUCAUCAGCAUCAGUAAUUGCAUCGAUAUUUUUUGGGUUUGUAAUCGACCGACAAGUAGGAUUGGUCUGAACUGAACCGUUGUCUUGAGUGAGAACCGACACAAGGCUAACUCUUGCAUUAACUUUUCUGAAAAUUUUCAUCAUAAUUCAAGGUUGGGGAAUGCUUGCACGGUCGCGUUUAGCUACUUUAUUUUUAUGCAUUACCCCGGACAGGGUAUAAAAAGAGAAACAUGCCCGGACACGUCGUAAUCCUAUUGUAUCAUGCAACAUAACCUAUGGCAGUGGUUUGGGCUUGUGAAUAUUUUGCCGAAUUUAUUUGAGGGAAGAAAUUUCAAAUCGAGACGGAUCAUAAGCCUGUUGGGAAGUAGACCAUUACCUGAUUUGCCUCUAAGAAUGCAGAAGCUAUUUAUGCAGAGGUACGAUUAUGAUAUUAGGUACAUCCCGAGAGAAACGCAACAUAUAGCGGAUUUUUUUAGCAGAAGAGGGAAGGAUGCCUCAAAGGAUAGUCAUCCGUCGUCAGACAAAAGGAUUGGAGCUGAUAUUAAUUAUAUUAAUAUAGGAAUAAUCGAUGACAUACCAGCAUCUGACAAGCGUUUAGUUGAAAUAGCAAGAUUGACUAUGGAAGAUCCGGUGCUGCGGAAAGUUUUAGGAUAUGUAGAGAAAGGGUGGCCUGAAAAUAUUAACCAAAUUCCAGAGGAAAUUAGACCAUUUUAUCAAUAUCGUGAUAACAUUUUUCGUAGGGUUAAUUUAGUUGUUUACGGAGAGAGAAUAGUAAUACCUUUGGAAUUACGGUGUGAUAUACUACAUCGGUUGCAUGAAGAACAUUUGGGCAUAAGUAAAACAAAGUUAAGGGUGAAGGAGUCCGUAUUCUGGCCGGUGUAUCUACAAGUAGAGCAGACGAUACAUUCAUGUGGAAAGUGCGCGGAGUUUGAAAGCAAGAGAAGAUUACCUUUGAUACGUAGUGAGUGGCCAUCAGGACCAUAGAAACUUGUUGCUUUGGUUUUAUUUAUGUUUCAAAGAAAAGACUAUGUUAUAGUAGUGGACUUUUACAGUAGAUACAUCGAAAUGGAAGAGCUUAAGAGUCAAGGUCAACAUCAAUAGUAGGAGUACUGAAGUCUUUAUUUGCUAGACAUGGUAUUAUGGUAAAAGUCCAUGGUACGUUGGUUUCAGACAAUGGGCCAUGUUUUACGAGUCGGGAGUUUUCGGAUUUUGCAAAUGAGUGGGGGUUUAAUCAGACUUUCUCCUGUCCAAACCAGCCAGACCAGAAUGGUUUAGCUGAAAGGGGUGCAAACCGUAAAUAACUUUUUGAAAAAAAAAUCGAGAUGCAGAAGACGCGUUACUUGCGUA
rnacentral:lncRNA from 1 species